UACGUAGGGUGCGAGCGUUGUCCGGAAUUAUUGGGCGUAAAGCGCGUGUAGGCGGUUCGGUAAGUCUGCUGUGAAAGUCCAGGGCUCAACCCUGGGAUGCCGGUGGAUACUGUCGGACUAGAGUACGGAAGAGGCGAGUGGAAUUCCCGGUGUAGCGGUGAAAUGCGCAGAUAUCAGGAGGAACACCGGUGGCGAAGGCGGAUCUCUGGGCCUGUCCUGACGCUGAGGCGCGAAAGCUAGGGGAGCGAACAGG
rnacentral:rRNA from 1 species